rnacentral:lncRNA from 1 species
UGGUUUCUUUUAUCUACUAGACACCUGUGUAUGACCUCCCAAAUAUGGAUGUUCUAUGGAUUCUAUAUGUUUGUCAUAUUCUCCUGUAAUGCCUUUGAGGAUACUUUUGAGAAGAAUGUCCUUGUAGAUCAUGCAAGUUGAAAAUUGUAGGUUUGUGCUAACCAUUAAAUUGAAAAAUAAAAAUGGUCUCUAGAGAGAACUUGAAAGACAAUGCCCAUUGGCUUCUCUUUAAGUUGGUACUCCCAAUAAAGCAGUUAGUUAUCUGAAGAGAGGUGGCUUUUACACUCUUCGGGGUAGCUCAGAUGGUUUUGCUUGGGACUUCCAUAAUGGAGGUCUCAAGUUUGAAACCUCUUGCUUGUGAGAGCAGGGGGUUGGCCUUCCUGGUUGAGCUUGUCACAGGGGGUUUGCUUAGUGCGGUUUACCUCUUGUGUGCACCCAAAGGGUAGUGGCUGGGGGUUCCCUUGUCAACAAAAAAAAGAAAAGAAAAGAGAGGUGGCAUUUACAACACAUGAAUAGAGUUGUAAAUAUGCUGUGAACAUCAAAUUUAUUGUUUUAAGCUAUUCUGUCUGGAUAAACUUUUCUGUGUGGAUCCAUAGGAGAGAUGGAUUCUUGGUAAAUAGAAGCUUUUGAUAUUUGUAGGAUUUUUUGAGAAAAAGAAGAGCAGCAACCUUUUGACCUCUGUGGGGAAUAUGCAAAAAAAUAUCAAGUAACUGCUUCACCAAGAAAAAAUAAAAAAUCAAAUAACUGUAACUGAGUAGUGGACAUCAUGUGAUAAGUGGGGAUCUUGUGCGUGUAAUUUCAUUGGUGAUUUGCUGUUCAGUGGGUCUAUAUUGUGAUUCUGAUUCUGAUUCUAGCUUUUGGUUCGAUAAUGCAGAAUGAUCAACCCCAUCAUAUGUUUUGAAGCUCUAACUGCUAAGCUUGACAUCUAAUUUUUUAUUAGGUUUCUCAUUUUUUUUGACAUGUUAAGACAACUCAUGCUUUUGACAGUCCAUGGCAGAUUCUAGGACUUGUUGACAGCGCUGUAUAUGGUGCACCUCUUCGUAGUAUAACACGGCGCCAGGUUCUCAUUGCCAUCUGUUUGUUUUUUUUGGAGUGAAAUAUUCCCACUUAAAUAACAUAUGGUCUCAUUGUUACUCAUGUCUUCAUGGUGGCAGGUUCUUGAACAAUACCAGGUCUAUGGGGAUUCAGUCCUUAGAAUAUAUGGGCCUAGGCCAACUGUUCGGGAAGUUGUCAAGGUAGGGUCUCUCGUCACUUUAUUAUUUUUAGCUAUUAGCCUUAGCUGUGUCUGGAGUUUUGCAAGCUAAACACACUUUUAAAAGCUUAGUUAGCGAGUUUUCUAUCUUCCUCAUUCUUUUGUUUUCUUAGUUUAACAUUUUAUUAGGGCUUUGACUCCCAAAACAUUUUAUUGUUGUAAUCAUUUUAACUUUUCCCUGUACAGCCUUUGCUUGGCCUAUUCCAUGCAGAGCCUAGAAAUGUUGUGUGGAAGCGUGCGGUUGAUGCUGCUUUCCGGCACUGCACGGUAUGUCACUAUUGAAUUAUGACAAUAAGAAGUGCUCUCUUUAAUAAUCAUGACAGUUGGAAUUGCUCUUUCCAUUGCCAUAUUCUUGCUGUGAUGCAAUUAUCUUUCACCUAGAAUGGAACAAGUUUCUGACACUCAUUUUCCCGAGUGGAAUAGGAUUUUUAUUGUAUAGAGAAAAUUGUUUGGAAGAGUAUAAUGUUUCUUUAUUGUGGAGCCAUAGUAAAAUAACCAUGGGAAGACAUGAAAAUGGUAGUGUUGCUAAAUAUUAAUUUGACUUUAUGAAAUUCGUGGACCUUGCUAUUUAGGAAAGAUGUCACAUUCGCGUGUAGUUUAAGCACCAUCACUGAACAUGGUAUCAGAAAAAAUAGUUUGAUGUGCCUAUACGGCCCAUCAGGAGCAAGCUCUGUUAGAUUUUUGUUAGUCACUGGCAGGGUAACUUUAAAUUGUCACACAUGUCGAUAUAUCUGUUUAAAACUGUAUUUCUAUGCUGUCUAAAGUCCCUUUCCAUUCAAGUCCUCCUGCAGUAAGCUAUUGCUUAAGUUUUUGAAACUGAUUUUAAACCUUGUAGACAAUAAAAUCCCUUUUCGAGGAGACGUUGGGGGAAAUUCCAGACGAAGUCCUUGAUGCUCCCAUUACAGAAGUUCCCUCUGGUAUUACAGAUACAUUCAUUAAGGCGAAGAGUUUGUUACCUCCUCCAUACACAGUUAAUGAAGAAGAAUUACUGUAUGCUUAAAACAUACAUAUUUUUCUUACCUUUGUGUUUGUAUCCACUGAAAUCUAUUCAUUCUUUCAGAAUUAUGUGUUCUAGUUGCCUCAUUUUUUGGGAUGUAAAAGUGAAAUCUUACAAGCUCACUGCUGCUAUGAACAGAAAGCUGGAGCUACUGACAUAUUUUUCUAAAAAAAAUUAUAAUAUAGUCUAUUGUGUAACAAAUUCAACCUAUACUAUACAGACCAAACUUGAAGCCUUGAUAUUAUUAAAUUCUUGGAAAUUCAAUUUAUACUCAAUAUAAUAACUAGUCUUAGUAUCUCAUUUGUUCUAAUCAUUUGCAAUUUAUUUUGUCUGAUGUUCUUGUUUCAUUAUUCCUUUUAUUAUUAACUUCCUUCUUAAUAUUACCUGGGGAUAAUUUUUUGUGGAGUUUUUCGAGAAAUAAUAUCUAUGAAUUUAAAUUUAAACAAUAGUGUGUUUUUUUUUGUUAUAAUUUUAAAAUAAAUAUAAAUUUCUCUAUUGAAAUAGUCCAUGUUGACUCUUAAAAACUGGAAAAUCUUAGUAGUUAAUUGGUUGGUUGACUACCUGAAUUUCACUUUUAUAUUAUUGGUGCAGUUUUGAUUCGUGAAGAAACGGAAAUGUUUUCAUAUUAAAAAAAUAGAUCAAAAAAUUAUUGGUGCAAUUUUGAUUUGUUGAGAAAUGGAAAUGUUUUGAUAUUAAAAAAAUAUAUCAAAAAAGUUCCGUUGCCGGGACUUGAACCCGGGUCUCUCGGGUGAGAGCCGAGUAUCCUAACCAACUAGACUACAACGGAUUAUUGAACAUGUUGUAAGGUUAAUUUAUUUUAUUAAUCUCAAAACAUAAGAAAAUAAACAUUAUUACUCAAUUAAUACAUUUUAUAGGAGGAAAAAUGAAUCCAUCACGACACUAACUUACACUAAAAAUAAAAUAAAAUUACAUAAUACAGUAGCAGUUGUAAUAAUAGUUCCUAGCCAACAUGAUUCUAAAAUUGCACUUCCUUUAAUUUCCUACUACCCCCUUAAAAUUGUCAAUGAUUGUCUCAAUAAGGAGAAAAGGAGUUGAAGAAAUGAAAUUAAGGGACAUGUACAAAGGAGAAAGAAAAAAAAUUAAUUCCACAAAAAUGCCAAUGGGUGCGGCUCGGAAGGGCAUUUUGGGAAUAACACCCCCUUUGUUGUGUAUUUAACGUUUGUACAUAAAGCUUUGACAGUUAAACCUCCUUCGUGACGUAUAUUCACAUUUUCCAUUUGUAUCCCUUUGCAUGGAACAGUUUUACUGCAUUUUAAUUUAAUUGCAGUUUGCGUGGAACUCGUUCCCUUUAUAUUUUUGAACAUUAUAUUACUCACAUGCACUGCUUCUUUCUGAAAAAUACAUAAAUAAAUAAAUAAAAUAUUAGCACUAAUCGUAAUUAAAUGAACAUUUUAUCCAAAGAAAUUUGACACAAGUCAUAUGAGAAAACUAUAUAGUAAAGGCUAAAGCAAGGCACUUAAUUGCAUAGUUUUUUAAGGUCAGUGGUAACUUUUAAUUUUGACAAUAAAAUAUGUAAUCCUUUUGAAAUAAAGUUACAUAUUUGAAGAUUGCGCGUAGAAAGUUGACAAUUCAAAAAACCUUAAAAAGCGUAUAAAAAAAUUACGAUCAAAGAAAAACUUAUUUGACUCUUGAAAUUCUAUUGCUGCCACAAUUGGGAUGGGAGGAGGGGGUAUUUUACUAAAGUUAUCUCCAAAAUAAUUAUUAUUUCUACUUCAUGAAGUGAGUAUAAUUCUAAAUUAUUGUUGUUGAUAUAUAGAAUGUUUAAUGAAUAUAAUUAUAAUUACCUGCUCUUUGCAUGGCUUAUCUUGGUCACAAUAAAAUUGAUCAAUGAUUAUGGGGUUGGUCACAUUCACCAUCUGUAUGUUUUGAAAAAGAAUGUCUUUUGCAUAUCCACGUCCUCCCUAUUUAAAUUAUAAACAAUUAAAAAAUGUUGAGCAUUCAAUAAACACAAGAAUACAAACUAUAAUUAAUCUGCUAAUUAAGACCAAUAAGUUUAAAUCAAAGACAAAUCUAUUUUAUAUCUUGAAAAUAAAAAGAAUAAAAUACUAACUUAGAUAAAGUGAGGUGUUAAUUAAUAACGUUAUUUACCAGUUUUUCAACAAAACUAAAUAGUUUCUAGGUAAUUAAUUUGCUAAAUGAGUGGUGAAAAAUCGUUAGGAACUCAAAAUAGAUGAUAACUAAAUUAGUAUUGCUUUGUUUUUUUUUCGUGCUCAGGUAUCUAUAUUGGAGCUCGAUUAAAUUCAAAUUUGUGCGCUUCCUAACAAAGGUGACUCCGUCCAUAUCUGGGGACUCAAACCCGAGACUUCUUGUUAAGGAUGAAGAAAUAUUUAUCACUCCACCACAACCCUGAACUUGUUGGUGAAUGAGUAUUACUUUGCUUAUCUACUAAUUUCAAAAAUAGAUUUCUAUUUUAUUUUUCACUAUAUCAAGAAAAGAUAAUUAUUACUUUUUCAUAUUUUAUUCUUAAUAUUAAUUACUUAUUCUUUAAAUUAUUUUUCAAGGUCUAAUACUAUACAUUAAUUAAUAGAAAUAGUGUGAUUAAAGAGUCAGGUCAAUUAUUAUUUUCGUAAUGGUAUAUCGAAUCCAAAUAUAACAAGUAAAAGUAAACGGAAAUUUAAUUAGUGGGAAACCAAGUGGAUAUAUACCUGCCAAGACUUUAUUCUUAAUCCAUUGGUUGUUCCCCUCAAGGUAGCAUCAUGUACAUAAAUAUUUGAAACAACAUCCUCCUCUUUAUUUUUACCCAAGCUCCCAAUACUAAAAAAAAUAAAAAAAAUUUAGUAUUUUUUUUAAUUAUAUAGAUAUGAAUUUUUUUUAAUUGUCUACCAUAUAUAUAUUGCAUAUAGUUACCUUAUUCCAUGGCCAGGUCCACAAUGUAUAUAUCUUGCUCUAACAUUAGUGGAACCAUUUACUAUUGAGAUACAAUCAUCACCUAAUUAAUUGACCAAAAAACAUAUUCAGUCAGUAAUAUAUAAUUAAUUAAUUAAUGUAAUUUAUUUUAAUUUUUAACUAAUAAAAAAUACCUGUUUCAAUAUAAGAAUGGUGAAUAUCAAUAUCUUUUGUCCCAGAAACAUGAAUUCCAUCGGUGUUGGGGCUAUCAGCAGGAGCGGUAAUUUUCAAUCUUGAAACUUCAACAAGUUCACUUUUUGUAAUUGUUAAGUGCAUUUUUUGUGGAUUCUUAAACUCUAAAUUUCUCACUUUCAAAUUUGUACAAUUAUAAAAGGACAUAGCCUGUAAAAAAUUAAGAUAUACAUAUUAUUAGUAUUAAUGUUUUAUUGCUUAAUUUUUGUAAUCUUUAUAAAAGUUGGGUUGAAAGUAAGUACUUACAGUUGGAACUGUUAGUGUUUGUGUAUUGCAUGGCUGCAGAAAAAAAAAAAGAAGAGAAAAUUAAUGAUAUACUACUAUAUAUUACACGAUGGUGCUGUUAUAACACAAAAUUAGGCGCAAUACAUAAACAUGAUCCUUAACUUGACUUCAGCUGGCAAUUAUGAUCUUUAAUUUUGAGUGUGCACAAGUAGACAUUUAAACUUGUAUAAAAUUAAACAAAUAGACACAUUCGUCCUACAUGGUGUCCUACGUGUAUUAUGCCUCGUAGGACACGUAUGUCUACUUGUUCAAUUUUAUACAAUUUUAAGUGCCUACGUGUGCACACUCAAAAUUGAAGGACACAAAUAUUAGUUGAAGUCAAGUUAAAGAGCAUAUUUAUUGAACACAAUUUGUGUUUUGAUUAAUCAAAUUCGAAAAGCAUCUUUGAGUAGCAAUUGUGUUUAACCAAAAAAGACUGCUUUUCAGAAGUUAAAAGGAAUAAUUUUCCCCCCUAAAAAAUACCAUUUUUAAAAAAUACACUUGGACUUUUUAAAAGAUUGGUUAAACACGAAUUGUUACUCAAAAGCAUUUUUUAAAUUUAUUAACCAAACACAAAUUACUUUUCCCUUUUUUUAUACAUGGUGUAACAUAGAAAAAUGAAAUUAAAAGAAACUCACAAUAGUUUUAUCAACUUUACAAGAGCUUUUCCACCAUACUUGUCCAUUGCCAUCAAUACUUCCAAUACCUUCAACUAUAAAAUUUUCCAUAUUUUGGAAUAAAAGCCAAUGUCUUUUAUCUUCCUUAUAAUCUGAUAUAUCUUUUGAAGCUCUUAGUUCUCCAUUUAUCUAAAUAAAAACAAAACAGAUAUUUCAAUAAAAAGAAUAACUAGGAAAAUAAAUUACAAAUUAUAUAAGUUAAUUGUAGUAAUAAAUAGUAGAAAUAUUUUUAAUUAUUAUACUCACCAUCAUUCUAAGUCCUUUCUUACAAGGACCAUGAAACUUAAUUGGUCCAAUGUAAUAUAUUUUGUGCCUUGGAAUCAAAAGCACACCAUUUUCUGUUUUGCAUGUCUUCUUCCAAGCCUUUAUAAAUGCCUGAAAUUGGAAUUCAUUAUUUCAGUAUAAAGGCCGGUAAAAAAUAUUUAUACGAUCAGAUCACUUAUAAAGUAAGUAUACGAUAAAUGUCUCUAUAAUAAACAUUAUUGACACCAUAAUAGGUUUAGCUACACUAAUAAUAUAGUAUUUUUUACAAUAUCCAUGUAUAUAUCCUAAAUCAUUUCAGGAUUAUUUGACAGGGGCAGAGUCAGGUAGGAGCAAGGGAUUCAUUUGAACUUCCUUCGACGAAAAAUGACAUUGUAUAUUUAAGGUUAAAAUUAUUUUUAUGUAUAUAUAGUAUAUGUUGAAUUUCAUUGACUCCUUCAUGUGUCUACCUUUUCACAUUUUGAACCCCUGAAUAAAAUUCUGACUACGCCACUGUUAUUUAAUGCCACUAGGUAGAAUUGUCCAGAAAAACAAAAUUGAAAAAAGAAUUUACCUCUGUAUCAUCUGAAAGUCCAUCACCUUUGGCUCCAAAAGAUUGUAUAUCAAUAAUUGCUUGUGUCCUCUUUUUCACAUGACCAUUUUUUGGUGCAUUAUGACCAUGUUUUAUUGGUUUUCCAAUCUUCUUUUUUCCAUUACAAGAAGUUGAAAACAAUGAAGUGGCUAACAAUACUAUAAAGAGAAUUCUAAAAAGCAUUUUAUUAUUUUUGCCUUUUUUGCUCUUGUUGGAACUUAUAAAGGAAAUAAGAAAUCAAAAUGAAAAAAGAACUGUGUACUACCUCAAUUUGAUCAUGAAGUACAUAUCAUCAAUAUAUAUAUAGAGAGAGGAAUUAUUAAGAAUGAAGGGAAAAAAUAAAUGGUUCUUAGAGAAAGUGUUCUUUUUUAGAACAAAAAAUGAGAGGAAAAAAAGUCAACAAUUUCAAGAUUCAGGUAUUUCUCAACUUAGGAAAAUAUUUGAAAAGAGGACUAGUAUUUUCUCACAAUAAUGGUUUCUUACUUUCCUUGUGCUUGUUAUUAGUCAUCAUCAUACAAGCAUGAGUUUGUAUGAAAACCAAAUAACUUCCUAAUAAUUCAUCUAGUUAAACCUACUACCUCCGUCCACUUUUAUUUGUCAUGUUGCGCUUCUCGAAAGUCAAUUUAACUCAUUUUCAAAGUUGAAUUAGAUUAUAUUGAUUCGAUAUUUUAAACAAAAAAAAUUAGAUAUUCAAAAACUAUACGAAAAGUACUAUAAAUUGCAGUUUUUUACAUAUCAAUAUAAUGAAAAAAUACGUCGUAAAAUGUUAGUCAAAGUUCUAAUAAUUUGACUCUAAAAAAGAAAAUUCUGACAAUUAAAAUGUUAUUCCCAAAGUCUUGAAGAAAUUUUUUAAUUCUUCAGGUAAUUUGGGGGUAACUCUGGCAUUAGUUGAAAAAUUAUGUUAUAUACAUAUGAUCAGGUAAAUUUUAUAUAUAUAUAAAUGUUGAAUUUUCUUAAUUCUUCGUAUUUAUUUUUUAAUAUUUUGAAUCUCUUUAAUUUUAAAAAAAUUUGAAACCAUUCUAGGGUAGGUUAGCUAAAUCUACUACUAAUAAAAAGGUUGGGAAAGAGUAGCUAAGCUUCUCCAACUAAAUAUAUAACUAUAAUUAGAGAUUUGUAGAAAACAUAAUAUAGUUUUAAAAAAAUGUCUGAAGAAUAAUUAACUUGACUUUGGAGACGUAUUUUUUUUUAUCAAUACUUAUAGCAAAGAAUUUAAAGGGAACUUUUUAUAAUAUAAUGGUUAAUUUACUAAAGUAAAUAUGUGAACGUUAAAUGUAAUAAAUCCACGGAAUUGGAAUUAGAAAACUCAUCAUACCUUAUAUUAAUUUAAUUAGUUGCGGGAAUACAUGAAUUUAAUACUCCUUCCGUCCUUCAGUCUUAUAUAGUUAGUUGUCAUGUUUCACUUUCGAGAGUUAAUUAAACUAUAUGUUAGAAGCUAAACAGAAUUAAAUUAAUUUAAUAGAUUAAAAUUACAAUUUAAAUACUAAAAAAUUGUACAAAAAAGCAUUAUGCUUUGUAAUUCUUCUCAUAUCAAUAUGGUGAAAAAAAACCAUAAAAUACUAAUCAUAAUUUUAGUAAAGAUGAAAUAGUAAUUUUCAAAAACACACUAUCUAGUGGAGCAUUUCUAUAGGAAAUGAUUAUGUAACAAACAUAUGAAACGUUGAAUCGUGUUUAUAUAGUUCUAAGUUUGACAACUUUAUAUAAAGUCAAAGUUUCCCAGAGAAAAAAAAAGUCAAACAACUUUUGCUAGACUUAUAAAUUAAUAUCUAAAAACACUUCUCAAUUUUUUAUUAUCCUAUUUAAGUUAGGUUUGGUCAUAAAUUCCCAAAUAUUUUUGAAAAAAAUUAAAGAUUUGAAUUGAAGUUUUAAAAUGCAAAUUGUCUAUAUAUUUGGAAAUAUAUUUCACCUUUUUUUUUGUUGGAAAAACAUGACUUAUAGUCUUAUAAUACCAACCAAAAUGAAUUGAAAGAUGUUGUACUUGACCGAUCAAAAAGUUCAUUAAUAUUCAAACUAGGAAAUAUACCAACCCAAACUAAUUAAUUAAGUCCUUUACCACUUUGGGUGGUCAUUAUAAGAAAGGAAUUAAUUAGUCUUUUAUUGUCCAUUUUUUGUUUUGUGCUAAUGCACAUCAUUAUUGUUAAUAAGGAGAUGGAGUAGUUUGGUAAGGAAUGUUGGGGAAAUUAGCAUUCAUUUAGGUCUAAAAUUGACUUCUAUUUUUUUGUUGUGUGUGUGAAGGAAAAGAGUAAGUUUGAAGAAGAUAGAAAAUGGGAGACUUGUGUUUGACUUUUGAGUGUGAUUUGGUAGAAUUAAGUCUAUUGUUCUAACUUGGCUUGCUAUCGUGUGUUUGGACAAAAUGCAUUUAUUUAUGGAUUCAUAAUAGAGAUGAACAAAUGGGAUCAACACACACAUCGAUUGAGCGAUAAAUUAAAUAUUAUGAAAAUAUAAUUAAUUUGUGUAUUUCUAACAAUAUACUUUUCAACAUAGCAUCGUUUGUGGAAAGCGAAAUUGUGUGGCGUUAUAUACUAUAGUUUAUAUAUAUAUAACAACUCUGAUGAUUCAUAUCAUUGCUCAAAGAAAUGAAAAUAAAGAAAGAUAAAAUUUAAAACAUUGGAAGGAAGGGAAAAUUUGAAAUUCCUUUUUUUAUUCUUUAGAGUUGGAAUAACUUGUUUUUCCUAACCAAUUCAACGCCAAAAACGUCUUCAUUUCUAUGGCAAAGUAUUUAUAUUAUUAUUUAGCUCAUCGUGGUCCAUCAUAUUUUAGUUUAAAUGAUCUUUGAGUAGGUCAAUGUAUCGAUGUUAUGAAAUUAAUGAAAAUAUAAGGAGACUAUGUGGGCUGGGCCGUUAGGGGGCUGGGAAUAAGGCCACGAUCCGCUAGACCCGUUCUGUCCUACUAACUAAGGGGACAAGUCGGGGGGCCUUAGUGAAUUUGCUCCUUUUUUUUAAAAAAAGUAAAUUUUAAGAAUAGUAAAGAUAAAAAUCUAGCACUCUAUAGCUAUAGUUUUGUUAUUUGCGCUCCAUAGCCAAAUUAUAUUUGUUAUGAAGCAUUUGAUUUAUAUAAAUCGCGGUGAAUUGUAUAAAUCGGGUGUUAAUUCGUUUGUGUCUAAGAAAAUUGUGUUUGUAUAUGUAUGUGUUUUCUGUGUUAGGUUAGAGUGGCAAGCAAGAUAGGGAGAGAUAGAGGAGAGAGGUGAGUGAGAGAGGUGAAUUGUAUAUGUAUAUUGGUUAGAUAUAAUUGUAUAUAUGUAACUACUAUGUAUGUAUAUCAAUGAUUGUGUUUGUAUAUCUGCAUAAAAUUUAAAUUUGUAUAAAAUUGGAUCAAGUUAAAAUAUUUGUAUUUGUAUAUAAAAUUUAUCUCGCUUUAUACGGACACAAAUUAUAUAUUUAUAUUUGUAUAUAAAAUCUCUCUCGCUUUAUACGAACACAAAUUAUAUAAUUGUAUGUGUAUAAAGCGAGAGAGAAAGACAAAAGAGAACUGGGCAGGGGAAGAUUUGUAUUUGUAUAACUAUAAGUGUAUAGGACAGAGAGAUAUGUAUUUAUAUAUAUAGUCUCUCUCGCUUUAUACAAAACACAAACACAAGUUAUACAUUUGUGUUUGUAUAAAGUCAGAGAGGCGAGGGAGAGAUGAUUGAAAAAGAGGAGAAUGGCAAGCGUGAGAUUCCAGAGAGAGGGAGAGAGGAGAAUGACAAGAAGCUUGUCACGGAUUGAAAUUAAAUAAAAUUGUUGCUAUAACAUUUAUUUUGAAUUAAUAGUUUACUAUAAUGCACAAUUUUCCUUCUCUUUUAAAGAAAAACUACCUAACUAGGCAUACAUCACUACCAUAUAUACUAACUUUACCUCUAAUUUCAAACAAUUAUAUAUAUUACCACUUUUAAUACUUUAUACUAUAUAUUUUUAAAAAUACAAUCAGAUAUACAAAUUCCCUAAAAACCGAAUUGAUUAAUUAUCUUUACAUUUAAACAACUAAAUUAAAGAUCAACUAACAAUUUGAAUAUUUUUUUCUCUCUCCCUUCGUAUCUCUUGCCCAACCAUAAUUCUCAUCACCCCCACCCCCACGUCCUCCACCACUUAGAUUAACCAUUUGUCUUUUCCUUCGUCCUCUCAAAUCACGUUUUCAUCUUCAGCUAUCAAAAUUGAAUCUUGGUAAUCGCCAUUAUAUGUAGAGAUUUGAUACUAUUGUUACAUUAUUAUCAUGUAUGUGGUCUAGAGUUCUUCAUUUUCAUGUAUAUAAGAUAUUAAGCCUCAAUCACACCUCUGAUUAAGGAAAUCAAUUACACACAUUUAAUUUAAAAUUAAUAAAUACAUGUAUCUCGAAUAUUCAAACAGACAAAUACAUGUAUCUAGCCAAUAAUGAUAUAUGUAUUCAAAGGACAAAUGUGACAUAGGAAGUAAUAUGGUGAUAUUGACCAUUGUUGAAAUAAACUCACAACUGCAAGGAACAAAACAAAAUUGAUGCCAAGAAGAUGAGGUUUACAAUUAGAGAAUUAGUUUGGUUUAAUGAUUUUGUUAUUUUAGGAAGAUCUGUUAAUGCUGAUACACUAAGGAAUCUGUAGAUUUGUUAGAGUGUUAAUUAAGCCUCAGUUACUCCUCUAAUUAAGGAAAUCAGUUCAUACAUUUAAUUCAAAAUUAAUAAAAUAUGUUUCUCGAAUAUUCAAACCGACGAAUACAUGUAUCUGGCAAGUAAUGAUGCAUGUAUCCAAAGGACGAAAUAUGGUAUAAAAAAUAAUAUUUAAAAAUAUGAAAAAUCCUAAUAAUUAGGAUUUAAGCUAGUGUGAUUUAUGUAGUUUGUUCUUCUUUUACCAUUUUGGUAUCUUUUGUAAAUUGUUUGUUCUUUCAGAAUUUUUUAUCCUUUUUUUUUUGCCGUUUUGGCUUCACACUCAUUAAAAAUAAGUUGACGGUAGGGGUGUACAUAGGUCGGUUUGGUUUGGUUUUUCAUUAAAAAAAAAUCUAAACCAAUUAUGUCGGUUUAUUAAAUCUAAAAACUAAAUCAAACCACACAAAGUCUGUUUUUUCGGUUUCGGUUUUAGUCGGUUCUUUCGGCUUUUCGGGUUUUUUACAACUAUACGGUGUUUGAAAAUGUGAUCAAAUGUAUUUUCACUUACCUGUGUGAUAAGCUAAACUUAAGAAAUGUUAAAUGAAUAGAAAUUUCGUAAAAACGGUAAAAUUCACAUGAGUACAAAAUAUAUUUUUUGAAAUAUCAAUGUUCACUAUGUUAAAUUAAUAAGAUUAAAGGAUACAAUCAAACUAAAUACAAAACGAAAUAUUUACAAAGUAAAUUGUUAACUUUGAAUUUGAAAAACUAUAACAAUAUAAUUGUAACUUCGGAUCUUAAUACAAAAUAAAAUAUUUACAAAUUUUACAAGCCCAAAUUUGAAAUAAAAUAUAUAAACAUUGAAAACUAUAAACUAACUAAAAAUAUAUUAACGGAGUUCGUUACUGAUUAGAGUUAUGUAGGAUUUAAUUAUGUAGGUAUUAGUUAUGCAGGGUUUAGUUAUGUAGGUAUUCGUUAUACAAGAAUUAGUUGUGCAGGGUUUAGUUAUGUGGAUAUUAGUUAUGUAGGUAUUAUUUAGUUACGUAGAGAUUACAUUACAUGAAUUAUUAUAUUAUUAACUAUUGAAUAUUGAUUUUAAUAUAAAUUAAUAUAUAUUAUUUACAAAUAAAAUAAGUAAGCAAAUAGUAUAAAUUCUCUCUUAAAAAACAUAAAGAAAGGAAUUUUGAUCUCUAUACUUAACUAGGAAUUAUGUGUUUCUUUUCUCUUUAUUUUUUUAAUGUUUAAAGCUUAUAAAAAUAAAAUACUAUUAAUAUAUUUCAAGUACAUUAUACUAUCCUAUUUUAUAUAAUGUAAAUUUCUAUCAAUAUGAUGCAUGCGUGUAACGAUCUGAUUUCCGUCAUUAUGGAAAAGCCAAUGGGGAAAGAAUUGGGGCUAGAAAACUUUUUCGUAGUAACUUGAGAUUUCCUAGCUUAGUUCAGAUUUGAACGAAAUCGGAGUCAAUGAGGUCUAGGGAAAUAUGGUAACAAAUGAGAGAUCUAUAAAUGAAUUUGAUUACAUGAGUGGAUAGCUAAGACGUUAAGAAACCUGUACGACUUUACGAAAUUGAAUUCGGGUGAGUAAAACUCCCGAAACUGAUCUUAGCGUGAAUGGGUGUUUUCUGAGUGUUAUGGGAUGAAGGUAUGUUGUGAAAAUGGGGGUCUGGAAUUCUUAAUUUGCUCACUGGUUCCGUGCAAGCCAUUGUGGCGAGAUUAUUCCCGCCAGGGCGGGGACACUGUGGCGGGUUGGGGCCGCCAUAGCGUGACAGAAGCGACUUAAGUCAGAAAUAAAACCCCAAAAUCGUGUUAUUCUGCACUUUUCGACUUUAAGAGCUAAAGAACGAUCCCAGGUGUUUUCUUGACGGUUUUCCACUUUUCUUGAGGCUAAAGGUAAGGUUUUCACUCCCAAAAUCCAUGUUUCAAUCCCUAGAACUUAGUUUCUUAGGUAAUUAUCAAUGGGGGAGGUUUUAAAUCUGUAAUUUAUGGUGGAAAAAGCCCUAAACUGAGUAUCGGGGCCAAAGGUUUGGUCUAGGGUUAUUGGGUUUGUUAUAAUCUGGAUAAUUAGACCUUUGAUUGUUGAUCCUUGCAUAUAAAUUGUUGUUUGUAGACUAGAACAAGCGAAAAGAAUUCGAAAAGGGAAGAUUCAAGUGCCUUAGAGGAUUCAAGCUUGGAUUCGAGGUAGGUGAUGGUUGUAAUUUCAUGUUAGUGUGAUAUAUGUUUGUAAUUGCUUCAUUAUAAUGCAUGCAUGUAUGCGAAUGUUGCAUUACUGAUCACCCUAAUCGUAAAUGAGGAUAAUUGAAUAAUUGUAUGCCAUAAAUCACCUCUUGUUGUAUGAUUGUGAGAAUAUACAUUGUGAUUGUGAUUGUGGUUUGUUGAAUGAGCGGGUGUCACGAUCUGACACACUAACUGGGAUCAAUUGCCACGUUUCAACAUAAAUAUGGGAUCGACUGCCACGUUUCGACAUAAAUAUAGGAUCGGUUGCCACGUUCCAACAUAACUAACUUGGAUCGGAUUGCCACUUUCCGACAUAAUUAUGGGAUCGGUUGCCACCUUUCGGCAUAAAUAUGGGAUCGGAUUACCACGUUCCAACAUGCUAACUGUUUGGGUUUGGGUUCCAUGAGAGGACCAUGUGAUGAUUCCGUUCAUAUCUAAUAAUGAUUGAUAUUGGAAGACGGUAUGUUGCUCUAAAUUAAUAUAAUUGUGAUAUGUGGAAAUCGUGAAACUAUUCGUAAUAGUUGACUAAUUUUGUAUAUGUUCGGUAUAUGCAUGUUUUAUAAUGAUUGUGGUUAUUUGAAUGUGUUUCACUUAUUGAGAUAGCCGCGUGAUCCUACCAGUACAGUGUACUGAUACUUGCACUUGCUUGUUCUUUGUUGAGUACAGAUCAUCUUCAGGCGACUAUUGAUAGACCUCAACUAAGUGACUAUUGAUCGUUACCCGAUUCAAGGGUGAGCCAGUUCUUUCAGGCUUCCAUGGAUCUCUCUUAUUUAAGUCCAUUCUUUUCGGACUUCAGACUAUUUUGUUUAAGGUGUUUGUUUAGUUUCAGGGUUGUACCUCUUGUUCUUAGACUUGUCGUUAGUAAGUUUUGGUACAAUGACUUUCAGGUUCUAGGGGUUGUUCUUCGCAUUAGUUUGAUUAGUUGUUGUUUAAACCUUUGGAGUUUAUGGGAACUCUAUAUAAUUUUUGCAUUUAAACCUGCUUCCGUAUCUUUAAAUGCCUUAGUUUUCUUAAAAUUUGUUUGUUUGGGUUGUAGUAAUGGUUCUCCCACCGGAUCGUUUAUAUGGGUGUCAAUCACGACGGUCUGGGUCGUGACAAUGUGUUGUUUGCACAUUUUUAGUAUACCAAAUUUAUAAAUUAUAUAUAAAUUCACAUUCUAAAUAAAAAAUUAAUACAUGUUAAUUAAAUAUGUGGAUAUAUUUAGUAAUAUAUAAUUAGCAUAUGCGCUAUCAAAACUAUACAUUCCUAUUCAUAAUAUUAAUAAAUAUUUAUAUUUUGAUUUUAAAUGAAAACAAAUAAAAAGUUGUUUGUAUACCAAAAAAAUAAGAAACAAAAAUAGUUGGAAAAAUAGAAUAGUUAUGUACAGUUUUCAAUUAAAAAAAUAAAAAAAAUUAAUAGGGAUAAAUGUGUAAUUUAUCUUUUUAAUACAUGUAUAACUAAUAUCCACAUAACUUAUUCCACUUUAUAUCCUGCAUAACUUAUACAUAGAUUCCCUCAUAAGUUAUGUAUGUAUUAAUUAUGUAGGAUUAUAAAAAAUGCAACCAAACACCGUAUUAGUUAAUACAUGAAUAACUUUUAUACAAUAGUUAGAACUUAUCAACCAGACAUAGUAUAAGUCACGUUGACUUUUCAACCUAAUAAAAAACUUUUACCAAACAUAGUAAAACUAAUACAACAUUUUAUACAUGAAUAAUAUGCCCUCUAAUACCGUAACCAAACGUCCCCUUACGAUUUUCCAUGCUUUAACUUGAGGAAGAGUAUCAUAAGAUAAUGUACGAUGGUAAAUAGUAUAUAUUUUAUGAAGUUAUAUAUAUAUAUAUAUUUUUUUAACCCUUAUAUAUAAGGGGACAAACAAAGUGGACCCAUUUUAUUUCUUUUAUUUUCUUGCCUAACCACGUGUAUGCAGCCUUUUCUUUGGCAGACACGUAUUACAUCUUUAAUUACUUACUUAUUUGCUUUUAUAUUAUAUAAUAAAUGAGAAUAUCUACUACUUAGUACAUGAUAAGUGUUGGAUGAUAUGUGCUUUGAUAGUGUUGUACAUUUUUCUUUUAUGGUUGUACCUUUAAAAUUUAUAUUAUUGGACGAUUUGACACCAUUAAUUACCUACCUUAUUUGGACCCAUUUAUAUAUAUAUAUUACCUUACCAAUAUUUAGAAAUGACAGUUGUUGGGACGAACACAGCAUUAAAAAAUUGUACCGAAAGCUGUCCAAAUUGAACACAGCACUAAUUGGUUGUACGAACAGCAAUUUAAUUCGUACUGUACAAGUAGGCUCCAUUUCAUUGUUAAUUGAGCUUUAUGGUCUUUUCUUUUUUCUCCUUAUAUAAAAGAGACACUUUCAAGUUUCAACAUGUUAGCUUAAUGUCAAAUAAUUUAAAAAUAAGGAUAUAUCAGUCAUUUAGAUCUAUGAAAAAGCUGAUAUAUGAAAUCUACGUGUCUUUCUUCUAUAAAAGGUUAAGGGCAAAUUGGUCACUGAAUCAUAUUAUAUGUGGCAACUUAAUAGCCUAAAGUCCUUUGUGUCCAUUAAUAUUGCUCCACCUGUUAGCCAACAUUUAAGUCAUCUCUAUCUUCUUUGUUUUCUCUCUUCAACAAUAUUAGAAUUAGAAUUAGAAUAGUUGUUGCAAAAAUUCGAGGUUGUGAUGAUGAUUUUCUUCGUUGUUUCUCCGAGAAUGAGAAAAUUGAUAGUGUAAGAGAGCAAUCGGACCCGUAUCUUGGCGGGGCAACCCGGAUGGAAGGUUAUCCCUGCAACCGGUGCUUGUUUUCGCCAUGAUUCCAAUCUCUCUUAUCGUAUUACAAAUCCGACCUUCAAUGUUUAAAUUUCUUAGGGUCUAUUGAAAAUCGCCUCUUUACCUCCACAAGAUAGAGGUGAGACUACACUGACUUAUUGUUGUUGCAGUUGGAAAAUUCGCAGUUAAAAAAAAUACACCAGAAUUUCUCAUAAAAGUAGCCUGAAGAAUUCAACUACUUCAAUACCAUUUGUUGACCGUUUCUAUUCUUCCGAAAAUUUGUUUUGACAUUUAAAAAUCGACUUGACCAUGAAAUCGGUAGACAAUGAAGAAGAAACAGAGCAAGUAGUUUUAGAGCUCUUUAUGUGUGUGGUGGUGUUGUAUCAGGUAAAUUAUUAUAUCGUAUUUAUAUUAUCAUUUUUUGGUUUUCUCUAUUAUUAUUUUUAUUAUAUUUUUUUGGGUUCUACGUUGAGAUUUCUCUGCAUCCAAAGAAGACCCAAUUCGAUUCUUCUGAUUCUAGGCAGAUUAGGUUGAUUUACUACAUUUGUAGAAUUUGAUUCUUUGUUGAAUCCACUAAUUUGAGGUUAAAAAUCUGGUAGCUCACUAGAUUUGCUUAACUGUUUAUUUACACAUAUUGCUCGAAUGUUAACCUGCUCCCUUUUUUCCUUCACUCUGCACUUUGAAAAAUAUUUGUUGUCUAUGUCUUUUGCAUCUUUGUUGUUUCAAAUACAUGUACUAACAACUAAUCAUUACUUUAUAAUUGUACAGGUAUUCCAUUUCAAGUUUAUAAGGAGGCUACAAGAAGUCUAAUUUAUGAAUAGUUACCUUGUGUGUG